GUUCUUGUAGUUGAAUACAACGGUGGUUUUUCAGGCCAUAGGUUUCGGUUAAAGUCCGGGCGAGAAUU
rnacentral:tRNA from 1 species